rnacentral:rRNA from 1 species
UACGUAGGGGGCAAGCGUUGUCCGGAAUCAUUGGGCGUAAAGCGCGUGUAGGCGGUUCGGUAAGUCCGCUGUGAAAGUCGGGGGCUCAACCCUCGGAUGCCGGUGGAUACUGUCGAGCUUGAGUGCGGAAGAGGCGAGUGGAAUUCCUGGUGUAGCGGUGAAAUGCGCAGAUAUCGGGAGGAACACCAAUGGCGAAGGCAGCUCGCUGGGACGGUACUGACGCUGAGACGGAG